rnacentral:rRNA from 1 species
CAAGACCUUGCGCUAUUGGAGCGGCCGAUGUCCGAUUAGCUAGUUGGUGAGGUAAAGGCUCACCAAGGCGACGAUCGGUAGCUGGUCUGAGAGGACGACCAGCCACACUGGGACUGAGACACGGCCCAGACUCCUACGGGAGGCAGCAGUGGGGAAUUUUGGACAAUGGGGGCAACCCUGAUCCAGCCAUGCCGCGUGUGUGAAGAAGGCCUUCGGGUUGUAAAGCACUUUUGGCGGGAACGAAACGGUCUGUGCUAAUACCACGGACUAAUGACGGUACCCGCAGAAUAAGCACCGGCUAACUACGUGCCAGCAGCCGCGGUAAUACGUAGGGUGCAAGCGUUAAUCGGAAUUACUGGGCGUAAAGCGUGCGCAGGCGGUUUCGCAAGUCAGAUGUGAAAUCCCCGGGCUCAACCUGGGAACU